UGAAUAACAGACAGGUGUUUCAAAUCCAUAACCCGACUUGGACCACACACCCUCUCCACUGAAUAACAGACAGGUGUUUCAAAUCCUUAACCCGACUUGGACCACACACCCUCUCCACUGAAUAACAGACAGGUGUUUCAAAUCCAUAACCCGACUUGGACCACACACCCUCUCCACUGAAUAACAGACAGGUGUUUCAAAUCCAUAACCCGACUUGGACCACACACCCUCUCCACUGAAUAACAGACAGGUGUUUCAAAUCCUUAACCCGACUUGGACCACACACCCUCUCCACUGAAUAACAGACAGGUGUUUCAAAUCCUUAACCCGACUUGGACCACACACCCUCUCCACUGAAUAACAGACAGGUGUUUCAAAUCCUUAACCCGACUUGGACCACACACCCUCUCCACUGAAUAACAGACAGGUGUUUCAAAUCCUUAACCCGACUUGGACCACACACCCUCUCCACUGAAUAACAGACAGGUGUUUCAAAUCCUUAACCCGACUUGGACCACACACCCUCUCCACUGAAUAACAGACAGGUGUUUCAAAUCCUUAACCCGACUUGGACCACACACCCUCUCCACUGAAUAACAGACAGGUGUUUCAAAUCCUUAACCCCGACUUGGACCACACACCCUCUCCACUGAAUAGCAGACAGGUGUUUCAAAUCCAUAACCCGACUUGGACCACACACCCUCUCCACUGAAUAACAGACAGGUGUUUCAAAUCCUUAACCCGACUUGGACCACACACCCUCUCCACUGAAUAACAGACAGGUGUUUCAAAUCCAUAACCCGACUUGGACCACACACCCUCUCCACUGAAUAACAGACAGGUGUUUCAAAUCCUUAACCCCGACUUGGACCACACACCCUCUCCACUGAAUAACAGACAGGUGUUUCAAAUCCUUAACCCCGACUUGGACCACACACCCUCUCCACUGAAUAACAGACAGGUGUUUCAAAUCCUUAACCCGACUUGGACCACACACCCUCUCCACUGAAUAACAGACAGGUGUUUCAAAUCCUUAACCCCGACUUGGACCACACACCCUCUCCACUG